UACAGAGGUCUCAAGCGUUGUUCGGAUUCAUUGGGCGUAAAGGGUGCGUAGGCGGCGCGGUAAGUCGGGUGUGAAAUCUCGGAGCUUAACUCCGAAACUGCAUUCGAUACUGCCGUGCUUGAGGACUGGAGAGGAGACUGGAAUUUACGGUGUAGCGGUGAAAUGCGUAGAUAUCGUAAGGAAGACCAGUGGCGAAGGCGGGUCUCUGGGCCGGUACUGACGCUGAGGCACGAAAGCGUGGGGAGCAAACAGG
rnacentral:rRNA from 1 species